rnacentral:rRNA from 1 species
GAUCAACGCUGGCGGCGUGCCUAAUGCAUGCAAGUCGGGCGGGGUCCCUUUCGGGGGGCUCACGCGGCGGACGGGUGCGUAACACGUGGGCAACCUACCCUGGGGCGGGGGAUAGCCACCGGAAACGGUGGGUAAUUCCGCGUACGCUCAUCCUCCGGUGGGGAGGAUGAGGAAAGGCGCAAGCCACCCUUGGCGGGGCCUGCGGCCGAUUAGCUAGUUGGGGGGGUAACGGCUUCCCAAGGCGAUGAUCGGUAGCUGGUCUGAGAGGACGGCCAGCCACACGGGGACUGAGAGACGGCCCCGACUCCUACGGGAGGCAGCAGCAAGGAAUCUUCCGCAAUGGGCGAUGAGCCUGACGGAGCAACGCCGCGUGGGGGAUGAGGCCCUUCGGGGUGUAAACCCCUUUUCUGUGGGAAGAAGAUCUGACGGUACCACAGGAAGAAGGACCGGCUAACUACGUGCCAGCCGCCGCU